rnacentral:rRNA from 1 species
UACAUGGGGUGCAAACGUUGCUCGGAAUCAUUGGGCGUAAAGCGCACGUAGGCGGCUUGCCAAGUCGGACGUGAAAUCCCUCAGCUCAACUGAGGACGUGCAUCCGAAACUGGCGAGCUUGAGUACUGAAGAGGAUCGCGGAAUUCCCGGUGUAGAGGUGAAAAUUCGUAGAUAUCGGGAGGAACACCAGUGGCGAAGGCGGCGAUCUGGGCAGAUACUGACGCUGAGGUGCGAAAGCGUGGGGAGCAAACAGGG